UACGUAGGGUGCAAGCGUUGUCCGGAAUUAUUGGGCGUAAAGAGCUCGUAGGCGGCUUGUCGCGUCGGCUGUGAAAACCUGGGGCUCAACCCCGGGCCUGCAGCCGAUACGGGCAAGCGUAGAAUUCGGUAGGGGAGACUGGAAUUCCUGGUGUAGCGGUGAAAUGCGCAGAUAUCAGGAGGAACACCAAUAGCGAAGGCAGCUCGCUGGGACGUUACUGACACUGAGGCGCGAAAGCGUGGGGAGCGAACAGG
rnacentral:rRNA from 1 species